GCUUGCUAUGUUGCCCAGGCUGCUCUCAAACUCCUGGGCUCAAGCAAUCCUGCCUCUAUUAUACUUAGUGCAUUUUUUUUGUUUGUUUUUUGGUGUUUUUUUGCUUGUUUGUUUUGUUUGUUUGUUUGUUUUUAGAUGGAGUCUUGCUCUGUCGCCAGGCUGGAGUACAGUGGCGCGAUCUCGGCUCACUGCAACUUCUGCAUCCUGGGUUCAAACAAUUCUCCUGCCUCAGCCUCCCGAGUAGCUGGGACUACAGUCACGCGACACUACACCCAGCUAAUUUUUGUAUUUUUAGUAGAGAUGGGGUUUCACCACGUUGGCCAGGAUAGUCUCAAUCUCUUGACCUCAUGAUCAGCCCGCCUUGGCCUCCCAAAGUGCUGGGAUUACAGGCGUGAGCCACUGUGCCCGGCCUACUUAGUACAUUUGUAGCAAUAUUCAUUACUGAUAUGAUUCUGCAGUUUUUAAUGAUUGUACUAUUUUUAUCAGUGAUAGAAACAAGAUAUACAUAUAUCUUGUACUGGCAUCAUAAAAAGCUUUAGCAAAAUUUGCUUCAUUUUUAAUACUCUGAAAGGAUUUAUGGAGAAUUAGGACCAACUGGACCUUGAAAAUUUCAUGUAAUGUAAAAAUGUCUGGGCUGGGAAUGGUGGCUCAUGCUUGUAAUCUGAGCACUUUGGGAGGCUGAGAAGAGAGGAUCAUUCUAGCUCAAGAGUUUGAGAAUAGCCUGGGCAAUGGAGUGAGAUACCAUCUCUACCAAAAAAAAAAAACAAAAAAACUCUUGAGUUUAGGUGCUGUAUUCCUUCCAUUGCAACUACUAAGUACACUGAGCCAGGGGUAUUACUUGAGGCCAGGCAUUCAAGGCAAUAGUGUACAACUAUUACAUAUCAAUUUUUUUUUAGUUGAUCUCACUCUGUCAUCCAGGCUGGAGUGCAGUGGCAUGAUCUUGGCUCACUGGACCCUUCACCUCCCCAGUUCAAAUGAUUCUCCUGCCUCAGCCUCCUGAGUAGCUGGGAUUACAGGCAUGUGCCACCUCGCCCAGCUAAUUUAUUUUAUUUUAUUGUAUUUAUUUAUUUAACUUUUUUUUUUUUUUGAGGCAGAAUCUCACUCUAUCGCCCAUGCUGGAGUGCAAUCAUGCGAUCUGGGCUCACUGCAACCUCCUUCUCCUGGAUUCAAGUGAUUCUCCUGCCUCAGCCUCCUGAGUAGCUCAGAUUACAGGUGUGCACCACCAAGUCCAGCUAAUAUUUGUAUUUUUAGUUGACACAGGGUUUCACCAUGUUGGUCAGGCUGGUCUUGAACUCCUGACCUUGUGAUCCCCCCACCUCGGCCUCCCAAACUGCUGGGAGUAUUACAGGUGUGAACCACUGCACCUGGCCUUUGCCCAGCUAAUUUUUGUAUUUUUAGUUGAGUUGGGGUGUUGCCAUGUUGACUAGGCUGGUCUCAAACUCCUUACUUCAGGUGAUCUGCCUGCCUUGGCCUCCCAAAAUGCUAGGAUUACAGGCAUGAGCUACUGAGCCCAGCUUUACAUAUCAAUUCUAAAAAGAGUUAUACUUCUAAGACUUUGGUUUUUUUUUUUCUUCCUUUUUUCUGGGGGACAGGGUCUCACCCUGUCACCCAGGCUGGAGUGCCGUGACACAAUUGUGGCUCACUACAACCUUGACCUCGUGAGCUCGGGUGAUACUCCCACCUCAGACUCCCCAGUAGUUGGGACUGCAGGCAUGCACGACCACACCUGGGUAAUUUUUGGUACUUUUUGUAGAGACAGAGUUUCAGCCUGUUGCCUAAGCAACAUAGCAAGACCCUGUCUCCACAAAAAUUUUUUAAAACCUGGCCAGGCAUGUUGGUGCACACCUGUAGUCCCAGCUACUUGAGAUGCUGAGGCAGAAGGAUUGCUUGAGCCCAGGAGUUCAAGGCUAUAAUGAGCUAUGAUUGAAUUACUGACUCCAGGCUGGGCAACAGAGCAAGACCCUGCAUCAAAAAAAAAAAAAAAAAAUGUGUUACUUGUCAAUUUUAUGUGCUUUUUAUCACAGUAAAAAGAAAUACAAUAAAACAGAAGUUACUGCCCGGGCACAGUGGCUCAUGCCUGUAAUCCCAGCACUUUGGGAGUCCAAGGUGGGUGGAUCACUUGGGGCCAGGAAUUCGAGACCAGCCUGGCCAAUAUGGCAAAAACCCUGUCACUAGUAAAAGUACAAAAGUUAGCUGGGUGUGGUGGCAUGUGCCUAUAAUCCCAGCUACUCGGCCGACUGAGGCAUAAGAAUUACUUGAACCUGGGAGGUGGAGGCUGCAGUGAUCUGAGAUUGUGCCACUGCACUCCAGCCUGGCCAAUAGAGCAAGACUCUGUCUCAAAAAAAUAAAAUAAAAUAAAAAAUAAAAAAAUUUUAAAAAACCCCAGAAGUUACUUGGGUCAGUUCUUGUUUAUUUUUUUCUUUCCGUUUUGGUCUGUCUUGAGCCCCUACCUAUAUUAAGGAUCCAAUAGCAGAGUGACUAGCAAUGCUGCCCUAACAAGAAAUGAAGGGGAGCCAGAUGUGGGUGUUUACAGGGAGCCUUUCUUUCAAGUGAUACAUUUUAUUUUAUUUAUUUAUUUGUUUAUUUUUAUUUUAUUUAUUUUUUUGAGUUGGAGUCUUGUUCUGUCUCCCAUGUUGGAGUGCAGUGGCACGAUCUCGGCUCACUGCAACCUCCUUCUCCGGGGUUCAAGCGAUUCUCCUGCCUCGGCCUUCUGAGUAGCUGGGAUUACAAGCACAUGCCACAACGUCCGGCUAAUUUUUGUAUAUUUAGUACAGAUGAGAUUUCACCAUGUUGGUCAGGCUUGUCUCGAUCUCCUGACCUUGUUGAUCCACCCGCCUUAGCCUCCCAAAGUGCUGGGAUUACAGGCGUGAGCCACCGCGCCCAGCAGCCUAUUUUUUUUUUAAUUUAAUUUAAUUUUUUUUUUUUUUUUUGAGACAGAGUGUCGCUCUGUUGCCCAGGCUGGAGUGCAGUGGCGCAAUAUCAGCUUACUGCAACCUCCGCCUCUCCGGUUUAAGCAAUUCUGCCUCAGCCUCCCAAGUAGGUGGGACUAUAGGCACAUCCGCCACGCCUGGCUAAUUUUUUUUUUUUUUGUAUUUUAGUAGAGACGGGGUUUCACCAUGUUGCUGAGGCUGGUCUUGAACUCCUGAGUUCAGGCAAUCCGCCUGCCUCAGCCUCCCAAAGUGCUAGGAUUACAGGCGUGAGCCACUGCACUCAGCAUUAUUUCCAUUCUAUUCUAUUCUAUUCUGUUCUAUUCUAUUCUAUUCUUUUUUUUUUUUUUUUUUUUUUUUGAGAUGGAGUCUCCCUCUAUCGCCCAGGCUGGAGUGCAGUGGCGCAAUUUCGGCUCACUGCAACCUCUGUCUCCCAGGUUCAAGCAAUUCUCCAGCCUCAGCCUCCCAAGUAGCUGGGGUUAUUUUUGUAUUUUUAGUAGAGAUGGGGUUUCACCAUACUGGUCAGGCUGGUCUCGAACUCCUGACCUCAGGUGAUCCACCCGCUUUGGCCUUCCAAAGUGCUGGGACUACAGGCGUGAGCCACCAUGCCCGGCCCAUUCCAUUCCAUUCCAUUCCAUUCCAUUCCAUUCCAUUCAUUCCAUUCCAUUCCAUUGCAUUCUUGAGAUGGAGUCUUGCUGUGUUGCCCAGGCUGGAGUGCAAUGACUUGAUCUUGGCUGACUGCAACCUCUGCCUCCUGGAUUCAAGCGAUUCUCCUGCCUCAGCCUCCUGAGUAGCUGGGACUACAGGCAUGAACCACGACACCCGGCUAAUAUUGUAUUUUUAUUAGAGAUGGGGUUUCAUCAUGUUGGUCAGGCUGGUCUCAAACUCCUGACCUCAGGCGAUCUGCCCGCCUCAGCCUCCCAAAGUGCUGGGAUUUCAGGAGUGAGCCACCACGACUGGCCUAAGGGAUACAUUUUUUAAAGUUAAUUAAUUAUUUAUUGAUUGAUGAAUGACAGAGUCUGCCUUUGUCAUCCAGGCUGGAUGGAGUGCAGUAGCGUGAUCUCAGCUCACUGCAACCUGCCACUCCAGAGCUCAAGCGAUUCUCCUGCUUCAGCCUCCCAAGUAGCUUGGAUUACAUGCCUCCACUACCAUGCUGGGCUAAUUUUUGUAUUUUUAGUAGAGACGGGGUGUCGCCAUGUUGGCUAUGCUGGUCUGGAACUCCUUAGCUAAGUGAUCUGCCUGCUUCAGCCUCCCAAAGUGCUGGGAUUACAGUGUGAGUUGUCACGCAAAACCUGGUUGACAGGGGGUCCCUCACCUGGGAAACUUGUUUAUACUGAUAGAUGACCUAGGCCGCUCUUUUUUUUUUUUUUUUUUUUUUUUUUAAGAUGGAGUCUCCCUGUGUCUCCCAAGCUGGAGCGCAGUGGCCCGAUCUUGGCUUACUUCAACCUCCGCCUCCUGGGUUCAAGCAGUUCUCCUGCCUCAGCCUCCCCGAGUAGCUGGGACUACAGGCAUAUGCCACCACACCCAGCUAAUAUUUUUGGUAUUUUUAGUAGAGACGAGGUUUCACCAUGUUGGCCAGGCUGGUCUCAAACUCUUGACCUCAGGUGAUCCGCUCACCUUGGCCUCCCAAAGUGCUGGGAUUACAGGCGUGAGUCACCGUGCCCAGCGACAUAGCUGCUCUUGUCUGACCUGUGUUCAGUUUAUGCCUGCCUGAUCAUCACUCUGACACUGGAAACCUGACCUUGUGUCCCCACCAGCUCCCUGGGGAAAUCUCAACCAGGGGCGGCCCCUGGUUCUUCAGAUGGUAUGUGCAAAUUCAAAACACCACCCCAAUAGGACAUAAUUUCAAAGAUUUAUUGCUUACACGUCCUGGGAAGGGAGGGCAAAAUGAGUUUUGAGGACAGUCUUCCAUCCAUGGGUCACGCAAGGCAGGGAUGAGAGGCAGAGAAGGAGGGAGGUUGUGGCAGCUAGCUGUAUACAUAAGGGAAUAGGGUGUGAGUCACUUUAAAUUUAGGAGCAAAUACAUGGAUAGUCAGUUUAAAGGAAGUAGGAGGAAAACACUAUCUUGGGCAGGAAAGAUGUCUCUAGAUUCUUUCUAGAUUUUUUUUUUUUUGAGACACAGUUUUGCUCUGUCACCCAGGCUAGAGUGCAGUGGUGUGAUCUCGGCUCACUGCGAGCUCUGCCUCCCGGGUUCACUCCAUUCUGCCUUGGCCUCCUGGGUAGCUGGGAGUACAGGUGCCCACAACCACGCCCGGCUAAUUUUUUUGUGUGUGUUUUUAGUAGAGACGGCGAUUCACUGUGUUAGCCAGGAUGGUCUCAAUCUCCUGACCUCGUGAUCCACCCGCCUCGGCCUCCCAAAGUGCUGGGAUUACAGGCGUGAGCCACCGCGCCUGGCCAAUUCUUUCUGCAUUCUUAUCUCUAGCCACAGGCUUGAGCUGAUUGGGUGUGGUGUUUAUUUAUUUACUUAUUUUUUUGAGAUGGAGUCUCUGCACCCAGGCUGGAGUGCAGUGUAGCGAUCUUGGCUCACUGCAACCUCUGCCUCUUGGGUUCAAGCAAUUCUCCUGUCUCAGCCUCCUGAGUAUCUGGGACUACAGGCACGCACCAGCAUGCCCAGCUAAUUUUUGUAUUUUUUAGUAGAGAUGGGGUUUCACCAUAUUGGCCAGGCUGGUGUCGAACUCCUGACCUCGUAAUCCACCCACCUCAGCCUCCCAAAGUGCUGGGAUUAAAGGCCUGAGCCACUGUGCCUGGCCUCUUUGUUAAUUUUUUAAAAUAUUAAAUAUGUAAAGGAAUAAAGGGCCAAGCACAGUGGCUCAUGUCUGUAAUCCCAACAAUGUAGGAGGCCAAGGCUGAGCAUGGUGGCUCAUGCCUGUAAUCUGAGCACUUUGGGUGGCCUUGGCAGGUGGAUCACAAGGUCAGGAGAUCAAGAGCAUCCUGGCCAACAUGGUGAAACCCCGUCUCUACUAAAAAUACGAAAAUUCACUGGGCGUGGUGGCUGGCACCUGUAGUCCCAGCUACUUGGGGGGCUGAGGCAUGAGAAUCACUUGAACCCAGGAGGCAGAGGUUGCAGUGAGCUGAGAUCAGUCCACUGCACUCCAGCCUGGCAACAGAGUGAGAGUCUGUCUCAAAAAAAAAAAAAAGAAAUGUGGGAGGCCAAGGAUAGAGAAUCACUUUAGAGUUGUUGAGUGUGAAUUCGAAGUUUCCCUUCAAAGAAUUAAUAUGUCAGUAUGCUCAAUUCUUUGCCUUCUACUUUUAAACUUCCUCGUAAAGCAACCUUUUCCACCCUGACACAUUCUACUCCUUGACUCAUUACCUACUCCACCCUGACUCAUUCUGCUCAUUCAGAUUACCUUCUCCACCCUGACUCAUUCAUUCCAAUUCAUUUCAUAACCAUUUUUCCUGCCAAACCACUCACCCCGUCCAUCUCUUUAAAUUAAUCAGUUGGAAUUAGUUUAGCCUGUGUGGUCUAACUCUACCCAAUAGGGGAAUGACACAGCAGUAGGGACCAGGUGCAUCAGUAAUAAGAACGCCUUUCCCUCCUUUGUGAAGGUGUGUGCCCACCAUUGCUCCAUCUGUGAGAGCACACCCUUCUAUAGAAGUACCUUGCCUUGCUGAGAAUUAAAAAUAAAAUUUUAUAUUUGAAUGCGAUUUCUUUUUCUUUUUUUUUUUUUUUUUGAGAUGGAGUCUCACUCUGUUGUCCAGGCUGGGGUUCAGUGGUGUGAUCUCUGCUCACUGCAAGCUCCACCUCCCAGGUUCACACCAUUCUCCUGCC
rnacentral:lncRNA from 1 species